ensembl:lncRNA
AAUUGCUUGAGUCCUGACCUGGUUACCCUUCACCUACAAUUAUAUUGAAAAAUACAUUACUUGUAAUGCUUCUUUAUGUUACAGCUGCCUGUAUUAGCAAGAGAGAGGCUCACUGAAGUGAACUCUGUAUUUAAUUAAAGGCACCACUAAAACUCAUCAAGGCCAAAACAUCAUAUACUCUGCAUACCUAGAACCAUUGCAUUACUAGAGCUGAGAAAGAAGCCAUCCAACUCUUUGCAACCCCCCAAAAAGUCCUGUCAUUCCUAUGAGAAAAGCAGCAAAAAGGAAUCAGAAAGCAUUACAAACACAAACCAAAUGCAAAAACUAAAAGCACUGGGAGCAUCACUGCAGCAAGGCCAGCGUUAUGAAUUUACUGAUAGAACAUACCAGAAAAACCCAAAGCUCAGAGCCUUCUACUGCAGCACUGAUUGCACCUCCUGCACUCCAGGUGCUGAUUUCAGCUGGGCCUCAAAAAGCAGAACAGCCCCCACCCCCCACAAAGCACAGGUGGCACUGAGGGGGGGCAUUGCUGUUCUCCCUUAUUUAUAGCCAUGCAGGGGGUGGGUAGUUAUUACAGUGCUCUCCUGAGGUGGCUCAAGAUCUCUCUAACUGAAUGAGCAAGGAAGAACCUGACACUGCAGAACAAACAGUUUGCAAGAAGGAAAUAUUUCAUGUAGACAUUGAAGAAUAACUUUGUGACCCUACGGUGUUAUCUUUCUGAGCAGCCAGACAGAUGUGCAAGAUGAGGACAAAGAGCCUUUCAAUCUCCUUGCCCACAGGAUGCUCGGAAGGGACCUCUUCACUCUCACCAGAGAGCGAUGUAGACUGCCAGACCCAAUGUCUCAUAGACUGCAGGCAGGGACAUUACUACACAGCUGGCAACUGCUUGGAAUGUCCAACUGGCUUUUAUUGCCCUGGGGGUCAAAAAGCUCCAAGGAAAUGCCCAUUGGGAACAGCUAAUGAGCUUACAGCUCAAGUGGACAUCAUAGCCUGCCGGGUCUGUCCUGAAGGCUUUCUCAGCAUGGAGAAUGGAGCUGGAUGUCGUGCGUGUCCAGAUGGCUAUUCGUGUGAUCCACGUAGUGGUGUGCAGAGGAGCUGCAGUCCUGGCCAGUAUUCUCCAGACGGAGAGCUGGAGUGCCUGGGGUGCCCAGAGAACCAUGUCUGCCCAGAUGGAAGGAGCAGGCAGCCCUGUUUGGCUGGGCAGGAGCCAGAUCCAAGCCACACUCAUUGUGUUACUUAUGCCCGUGGUUCUGUCUCUGCUGAAGAUGUGCUGAUAUGCCAGCCCUGUCCAGCAGGUCACUUCUGUGCAGACAGCCUUACAGAUACUCCUCCAUGCCCAGCAGGGAGCUUCAAGCCCAAAGAGGGGAUCCUCGUGCCCAGCAGCAGCUCUUCGUUCUUACCCAGAAAUGGGUUGUGUUUGAAGUGUCCUGCUGGGUAUUUCUGUCCUGCUGGAGGAAGUCACCCCACACCAUGCCAGCCAGGUACAUACAAUCCUCUCCAAGGACAGGAUGAAGCCACUGACUGCAGAGCCUGCCCAGCAGGAAGAGCUUGCACCCAGGCUGGAUUAACCCAGCCUGACUCUGAGUGCUUACCAGGGUACGUGUGCCCAGCGGGGUCAUCCAGCCCACAUCUUCCCAGCAAUGCCUGUCCUCCAGGAACAGUUGGUGACAGCUUUGACCUCUUUGAUAAGUCCCAGUGUGAGACGUGUCCUGCUGGAUAUUUCUGUGUUAGAGGAACAGGGGGAAAACAGAAACCUCCUGCACCAUGUCCAGUUGGUCACUACUGCCCACCAGGCACGAAGCACGCAGCACAGUACAAGUGUGCCCCGGGCACAUGGAGCAAUAGGACAAGGCUGAAAUCAGCAGAGGAGUGUUUGCUGUGCCCUGCAGGCUGGUUUUGUGUGGGAGGAUCUCAUGCACCUUCUGGCAUGUGCAGCUCAGGGCACUACUGCCCUCAAGGUACAUGGAGAGGCACACAGCACCCCUGCCCUGCAGGAACAUAUAGCACCAGGCUGGGAAACAGCAAAGUGGAGGAUUGCACUGCCUGCCCUGCUGGGGCGUUUUGCCCCAUUGGGACCUCCAAGCCAGUUCUUUGCCCCAUGUAA